GAAUAUUUGGGAAUCUGCCCAUCAGCGGGGGACAACCCGGGGAAACNCGGGCUAAUACCGCAUACGCUCUACGGAGGAAAGCCGGGGACCGCAAGGCCUGGCACUGAUGGAUGAGCCCAAAUCGGAUUAGCUAGUUGGCGGGGUAACGGCCCACCAAGGCGACGAUCCGUAGCUGGUCUGAGAGGACGAUCAGCCACACCGGAACUGAGACACGGUCCGGACUCCUACGGGAGGCAGCAGUGGGGAAUAUUGGACAAUGGGGGAAACCCUGAUCCAGCGACGCCGCGUGGGUGAAGAAGGCCUGCGGGUUGUAAAGCCCUUUCGGUAGGGACGAAAGCUCUUGCUCUAACAAAGCAGGAGGUUGACUUAACCUACAUAAGAAGCACCGGCUAACUCUGUGCCAGCAGCCGCGGUAAUACAGAGGGUGCGAGCGUUAAUCGGAAUUACUGGGCGUAAAGCGCACGUAGUCGGCUUGUCAAGUCGGGUGUGAAAUCCCCGGGCUCAACCUGGGAACUGCAUCCGAAACUGACUUGCUAGAGUAUGGGAGAGGGAGGCGGAAUUUC
rnacentral:rRNA from 1 species